rnacentral:lncRNA from 1 species
AAGGCAUCCAGGCACUCCCCCUCCUGCGCGGUCUGUCCCUCCCCUGGGCUCACCCACAUUCCCUCUCCCUCUCUUUCCUCCCAUUUCAAGAGCACUACCGUAAACCAGGCACUUUACGUGCUUUUUUUUUUUUUCUUCCAUUUUAUCAUUUUAACAACGCUGAAAAUAUAGCCAUUUGUAUUUAAAAUUGGAAACAUUCGGAAUUGAAAAACCUUAAGGAAACUCACCCAGAGACUGACGGAGACUAUCAGACCCCAGAUCUUUGAAGAACUGCAGUCUGCACUUGUAGGUGCCACGUUGCAGUGCCACUUAGCCCUCUGGGGAUGGAGUUUCCCAUGGCUUGGCCUGAAUCUGGGUGGAUGGGAGGUCAAAUAUUCCAGAUACGUUGCCGUGGGAAUGAAUGGUCCUGCUUUCAGUCCGGGCUCUGCAAGGCUUCCGACCGGCCAGCACGCUGAUCCGGGUGCCGUGCCCUGGAGUCACCCCCUGCAUCCUGCUCUCCCUCCCCGUCUAAUACAAUAAUUUAUUUGGUGGGGUUCUUUUUUUCUCUACUGAGUUUCGUGGAGCCGGCAAAGAAACACAGGCAUGAACUAGCUCCCCAAACUCAGUCCUUAAUCUGUUUGUCUUAUUCACUUAUGGAGAAAAACAGAAAGAAAAGUGACUAAAACGUUGUGUGUUUUGACACCCAAGUACUCAUGGGAAGGUGUGAUGGGCUGAAUUGUGUCCCCUCAAAAUUUACGUGUUGCAGUCCUGGUCCCCAGUCCACCUCAGAAUGUGGCCUUAUUUGGAGCCAGGGUCUUUACAGAGGUAAUUAAGUUAAAGGAGGUCCUUAGAGUGGCCCUAAUCCAGAAUGACUGAUGUCUUUAUGAGAAGAGGAGAUUAGGACACAGACCGGCGCAGAGGAAGGACCAUAGGAGGACAUCGGAGAGGCUGGCCGUCUACAGGACGAGGAGCCAGCCCUUCCCCCAGGACCCUCAGAAGGAGCUGAUUCUGCUGACAUCUUGAUCUUGCACUUCUCACCUCCAGAACUGAGACAAUACGUUUCUGCUGUUUAAGCCACCCCGUCUACGAUUCUUUGUUAGGGCAACCCUCACAAACCCAUACAGAAGGUGAGAAAAUUAAUUUAGCCCUCGGUGUACUUUGGUAUUCCAAAAGGACUUCCAAUAUUUUGAACACCCUAAGGCUCAUCUUCCCUGGCAGGGAAC